GACGAACGCUGGCGGCGCGCUUAACACAUGCAAGUCGAACGGAAAGGCCUGCUUUCCCUUGUGGAUUGCGGGUACUCGAGUGGCGAACGGGUGAGUAACACGUGAGUGAUCUGCCCCCAACUUGGGUAUAAGCCUGGGAAACUGGGUCUAAUUCCCGAUAGGACUGCAGGGUGGUGCCUGUGGUGGAAAACGAUUUUCUAGUGGUUGGGGAUGAGCUCGCGGCCUAUCAGCUUGUUGGUGGGGUAAUGGACUACCAAGGCGGCGACGGGUAGCCGGCCUGAGAGGGUGGACGGCCACAGUGGGACUGAGAUACGGCCCAGACGCCUACGAGAGGCAGCAGUGGGGAAUAUGGCACAAUGAGCGGAAGCCUGAUGCAGCGACGCCGCGUGGGUGAUGACGGCCUUCGGGUUGUAAACUCCUUGCGACCGCGAGGAAGCCACCUGGUUGGAAGGGUGGUGACGGUAGUGGUAGAAGAAGCACCGGCUAACUACGUG
rnacentral:rRNA from 1 species